UAUAUACUUUAAUAAAGUAAGAAUCUGGAUUUUUAGAAGAACGAGUGUUCUGGCGUGAGUUUGACUGCUUUGGUUUCUGUCUCUUCAGGAAGCUGGCGGAGGAGAAAUACGAGGAGAUCCACACCCGCAGGAGGGAGCUGAGGAGCCGCCAUUUUGAAAAAGUCAGCCUGGAUGUUUUAAAUGGGAGCAGAGAGCAGGGAGUCUGUCAGCCAAUCAGCAUCCAGGAUCACCAAACACCAGGAGGCUCACAGCCAAUCAGGACACAGGGUGCAGGAGAGACGUCGCAGGCCGAGCAGCAGCACGAUAUCCCAGAGGAUCCUCAGGCUGCAGAGGUUUAUUAUGACCAGGACGGGUUGGAUUCUUGUUCAGAGGACGAAGACACUGAAACACCUGCGGAGACACUUUACCUGUCUGACCCACAGGUGAGUCUGUGUGUGUGAGUCUGUGUGUGUGUGAGUGUGUGUGUGUGUGUGUGUGUGUUUAUUAUCUUUGUUGGAAUACCCGUUUGUCUUUGUUUUUCUUUUUGCAGAAAACUCAAUCGGAGAAUGUCAGAGUUUAUGAUGAAUGAUAAUGAGAAAAUAAAAACCAGAGAGAGUAAUUUAGUGAAUAACACAUCUCUCUCUUCUGAUUUCCUACUCGAUGAAGCCCAUCCACCAAAAAAGGGCGGAAAUCUAUAAAUACGGAUGUUCCCAUUUAGGAAAGAUAAAUAAAAUGACCUGAAGAAUUUAAAUAUACGAGCAGGGAUUGAGUAUUUCUUUCUCAAACUUCCAGACAGUUGGCUGAUUAAUUUUUUGUUUCUGCAGUAAUUAUCUCGUUAUUAUUCAGUCUUUUUAUUAAUUGUCUACAUGUGUUUGAUGUUUGUUAUUUAUUUAUUUAAAGACAAUAAAACUGUUGAACACGGUUGGAGCUCAUGAGGAUGCAGAGACGAGUGUAGUGUGUGUUUGUGUUUACACUCGGCUCAUCCUCGUUAUAAUCCGGAGUUAAAAAGGCCUCAUUCAGGAAAUCUGCCUUAUUAGGGAAGCACAACAUAGUGUGUGUGUGUGUGUGUGUGUGUGUGUGUGUGUGUGUGUGUGUGUGUGUGUGUAGCAUUAGCAUGGAUUAGCAGGCUGAGCUGCAGCUUUGAUUUCAGCGGCUGGUUUCAUGUUUUAAUGCGUCUGGGCUUAAAUUAUCAUAAUAUGAUUCUCACAGCGAGCCGGGGAGGUCCUCUAAUUAGAGAGUUAGAGACACACACACACACACAUACAUGCAACCACGCACACACACAGACACAGACACACACACA